AUUGUCAGUUAAAAUUCAAGUGACAUCAUCACCGGUGCCCAUAACGGUCAAGCUUUAUAUAUAAUGUCACCACAGGAGAAUCAGUGGGGUAAGCAAAAGAAAGAAUGUCCAUAAGGCAUUCACACAUGGUUUGGGAUCUAAAACAUUUCAACAUUUGAGUUUGGUACCUCUGGCAUGUCUUUGUAGGUGAGAUCAAACAAUCUGGUGCGGAACAAGUUUCUGGCUUCAGUUUUACCUGGAGGAAGCCAAAGGAACAUUGGAUUAUCAAGGCUAUAUAGAUUUCCCCGGUGAAAUUGUUAAACCUGAUUCAUGAGCAUCAGCUGCUAACGAUCCAGAGUUCGAGUUGGCUCUCUACACAAUGUGUUUUAUUCGUGUGAAGUCUUCACAGUGAAGAGAAGAAAGCCAUAUUCAGCUGGGUCCAUACAAUGUUAAUGUCAAAUGUUACCUACUUGGCAACAACCGUAUAGGCUCAGUUUUCCCCAUUGCAGAAUCUUGAAAACCUCUCUCUUGAUGACUCCUAAUCAAAAUAUCUUUGCAUUGCGCAGAGCUGUGUAUUGAAUUAUGAGAAACUAUGUCUUGUCAUGCUUCAAACAUAAAAGGAGAGUGGGAGAGUAUAUCUUGUGCUAAUGCGAAAAGAUAUUUAUUUGAUUUUGGUAAAAUACAAACUCGUUAACUUUCUCGCAUAUCUAUUGUAUGAACACUUAUCACAUUUCACAAAGCAGAAAAAAUAUCGAAGCAAGACAAUGACACUAUAAAGCUUAAUUGUUAAGGGUUCUAUUUUUUGAUAACCCAGGAUAAACCCCAAGGCUUGAUUAAUUCCCAGGGCCGGUCCACC